rnacentral:ncRNA from 1 species
AAGUAUCGCUAGGGGUGCUGGUUGAAGGUUGGCUGAAAAAAACCUUAGGACCUGGUCUAGUUAAAUCUAGCGAGGGGAGUGUGAAACAAUAAGAUU